ACCCAAUUCAAAGGGGAGUAGCGUUAGGGAAACCUAAAACAAAGUCGUCAUUACAUGGAUCGUAUCCAUCGGCUUUGUUGGCAUUUAUUGAUUUAAAAAUGCU
rnacentral:sRNA from 2 species